GCCUUCGUGGUGUAAUGGUCAAGCACACUGGGUGCGUAUUCGAGAAGUCCGUGGUUCGAGUCCCAGCGAGGGCA
rfam:Stegodyphus mimosarum contig86042, whole genome shotgun sequence.